UAAAAAAAAAGAAAAUAAUUUUAUUGAAGAAGUCAAAACAAAUACACACAGGGAGCUCCGCCCAUUAAUGUGGUACCACAUCCCACGAAACAAAAGAAACCAACAGUUAGAAAAGGCCAACAAUGGCCAAAAAAAAAAAAAAAAGAAAAAGAAAAACAGAGAAAAGAAGCAUGUGAAAACCCAUUGUCUGCCCCAGUUGCGCAUGCAUGUCCGAUAAAAGAAGCAACACCGACUGGAUCUUUCACCGAUCAAUGAACAAGGAUGAAGACGCAUCAACCUCCCAGUAAGAACACAGAUCUGGCCAGAAAAACCCCUUUCCCAGAACUCACCUUCAACAUCAGCUGCAACCCCAUCUGUCACUGUCCACCGUUGACAGAAUUGAGGCUGGUCCGUCCUCCACCCAAUAAGCAUCUCGCUUCCGAAUAUAGCCUUCACGGGCUUACAGACAAAGGCGCUCACCGGUGAACGAUCAGUGGCCGCACAUUGUAGUUUGGAGAUAAGCACCGCCGAGUCACCUUCGAUCUCUACCCAAUGAAAGUCCAGAUCCCAGGAAAAUCGGAUAGCCCGCACACAGGCCAGAGUUUCCGCAGACAGAGGACAAGAUUGGUGAAGAAUCCCGCAUUAAAAUUGACGCAGACCCAUGGAUCAGUAAGAACCUGCUAGAGCAGCGGCCCAGGAGCCACAACACCAGCGCUAUUCAACGAAAGGGAUUCCGACUCCCGUAUAUAACCUAAAACAGAGAUAAUUAUUGUAGGAGUAGUCUGAAAAAUACCCUCGUGAAUUAUUUUGUUCCUAGAAGUCCAUAUAGCCCAAAUAAUGAUAAUAGAUAGUUGCACCUGUCUCUCAUUAUUAGCAAACAACUGACCAAUCCAUCGAAUAGGUGUAUCUUCAACCUCCGGAGCAGGAGUCCAAAUGAUACCCAAUCCGUGCCAAACCUCCAGUAUACUAGAGCAAUCCUGACAGACACGAAGAAUAGUUCCGGGGCCACUGCCAUAGCGUGGACACAUCCGAUCUGUCCUGAUUUUGCUUUGAUAUAAAUUAGCCUUUGUAGGAAGAUAAUUGUUAAUGCAACGCCAGCAUGUAAUUUUCAUUUUUUCGAGCACCUGAUCCCCGAAUAAAUGUCUGUAAAUUUGUUUUGUAUUUAGGUCAAUGCUAGGAAGCAACGUAUUUAACACCAUCGGACCCUAGGAAGCAACGUAACAGAAGCUUGGAACCACUCCGGACUGAAUAAACUCCAGUUUCCUUUGGGACCAUCUCCACUGAUCCUCCAAAUAUGGACAGCCAACGGGAGACGCUGAAUAUGACGUACAACUGGAGACGCUGAAUAUGACGUACAACUGGGGCAGUCCACCAGGAAGCCAAGCAUUGUUCCAGACCGAGAUCGAGCGCCAAUUACCCACCUGCCAACCACAGCCCAUUUGCAGAAGCCCUUAGUAGCCCAGAUACUUCACUACACAAAAGGAAUGUUGAUUCCCUAACCCUACUUCCAUAAAAUUGUGGUUAGGAAAAUAUUUAUCUUUGACCACACGUGCCAUCAAAGAAUUAGGGUUAGUCAACAAAUGCCAACCCUGUUUGGCCAUCAAAGAAUUAGUUUGGUUCACCGAAUCCUCCAUUCGACUGAAUUUCAUUCAUCUCCCAUUCCGCCUCCUCCCGUAAUAGUCAUUCCCCACCUGAUCUAAAGAAUAGCAAUACAGAGCCUCCACCGAAUAAGAAAAAAAACAUAACCUCUCAUUCUUGCCCUUUGCCACUUUCCCUCAGCAAGCACCUUAAGCCACCACACCCCAAUCCUGUCUCCUAGUUCUCGUUUAGUUAUUGUCAUCUCACGACCAUCAUCGACAGAGAUCUCGAUAUUGUAAAAAGCUUCCCCAAAGUUGAGACGACUAAGGCUCACAUGCUCAAACUUGUGAUACUUUGGAUGGCAACAUGGUGGUCAAUCAUGUCUGCUCGGCCCAUCAGAAGACAAUAUCAUGGAUACUGUGGGAGUCAUUUGUGUUGACACUGAAGGAAAUAUAGCAUAGGAGCCUCCAGCAGUGGUAUUGCACUGAAGGUGAUAAUUACUGGAUGAAACUGUACUUCUUAGUUCAUUCCUCUUUGAGGCUAUAUAAUUUAUGAGACACUUUUUCCCACAAUUGUGACAUGUCUUUGGUCGUGUGGGAUUAGCAGCAAUGUAUGGUGGAGAACACCUAAUGAAAGGAUUUUCAGCUCGGGAGUGUUAUGUCUCAUCGUCACUAUAAGAUUCUUUUGGAUUUAUAUGCCUAACAGGAAUUUAUUCCCUUAACAUGAAGAAAGCUUUAGUUAUCCUAAAUGGACCUUGUUGAGUUAGGUUGUCUCUGCUUGUAUCUCUUUCUGUUAAUACAAAAGUAGUAUAAUAGGAUACGAUCUUUUGAAACAUUAAUUGUCUACUUGAUUCCGAGCAUGGAUGUUGAAAUCGGUAACGGUUUAUGCUUGGUGAGAACUAGAAGUGAUAAAUCAUAUAAUAGAAGUUGAAUUUGUUCGAUGUUAAAUUACUUGCUUAAAUUUGAAGAUUUAUCAUCAAAAGAUCCCAUUUAGAAUAUAUAAGGUAAGCUAAAAAGAGAAAUGGACACAAGUAAAUAAUUCUGGCUGCCUUUGAAACAUACAUUAGAUUUAUUGCAAUUUGCAAUACUUGGGGUACUAAUAAGGUCAUUUUCAUGCUUGGCUUACAGGCAGGUCCUGCCUCUGCUUGCAUGAAAGUUCUUUGCUUUUUUGCUCAAGAUAGUAAUCAAGUGUUGGGAUUUUAAUCGUGCAAGCGGGUGCUCCAAUCGGGGCGAGAUUUCAAUUAAACCACAAUAUAUCUUUCGAAAAAAAAAUUACAUUUAUUGGAUUAGUUUUUAUAUGUGAAUUUAUUGGUUUAGGUUCCAGGAAAUCCUCCAAAAUUGAAAGCUAUAGAAAUUGCAGCUGCGUACUCAUCCUUGUCUUUCGGGAUAGGAUGUUUUGGAAGUGGCAUGGAAAGGCCUAAGGUGUGAUGCUUGCAAUUAAAACAUGUUUUUGGAGUAGAUGGUAUAUUCAUUGAUGUAGCAAAUAUAAGGUUUCUAUUCUUAGGAGAAGUAAACAGCAGAAUAGAAAUGGAAUCGAUCAUUUUGAAGCUCGAGUUGAUGUUUCUACAUGACUAAUUUUUGUUUAACCUAUUUUUUCAAUGAUAAAUUAUCAUAUCAAAUCAAA